CGGGGGGGCAAGCGUUGUUCGGAAUUACUGGGCGUAAAGGGCUCGUAGGUGGCCAACUAAGUCAGACGUGAAAUCCCUCGGCUUAACCGGGGAACUGCGUCUGAUACUGGAUGGCUUGAGUAUGGGAGAGGGAAGCGGAAUUCCAGGUGUAGCGGUGAAAUGCGUAGAUAUCUGGAGGAACACCGGUGGCGAAGGCGGCAUCCUGGACCAUUACUGACGCUGAGGAGCGAAAGCCAGGGGAGCAAACGGGAUUAGAUACCCCGGUAGUCCUGGCCCUAAACGAUGAAUGCUUGGUGUGGCGGGUAUCGAUCCCUGCCGUGCCGAAGCUAACGCAUUGAGCAUUCCGCCUGGGGAGUACGGUCGCAAGGCUG
rnacentral:rRNA from 1 species